AUUUAUCAUUUCUUCUUCGUUAUGGAGAAUGACUAACGUUAGUUCUGAAAACGAACGAUUCUCCCUCUCAUAAUUUUACCCUAUUAAUUCAGGUCACUGAUACUCCACCUGAUGUGGUGUAAGUAGUCGAACCAGAUCAGAACGCCUUUGAAGACCACCUUCAGGCACGGACUGAGAAGGAUGUGGAGGUUUUUGACCAGGGUGUUGUGGAGGAUGUGGACUGUGGAGCAGACCUACCCAUCCAGCACAGCUAUGAUCAAAGCACAGCUCCAGCCCUUCAACCCUGCCCCGGACCGGGUCGAAGCCUGACUGCACAGAUGGUACCUCUGGACCUCAGGAGGAUACCAAUGAUUCAGUCAACAGAUGCUGAGGGGGAUAAUCCGGUGCAGCAGAGGCGUGCAGCUUCCACAGUACAGCAAGUUAUGUGGCUGUGAGAACCUCCGUGACAGUGGCUGAGGUCCACAGCUGCCUGACCACCACACAGGCAGUGUUGAACAAACACAAGAGCAGACCUGGUCUCAAGCUGAAUGCUUGUCUUGCCAACACAGACACCUAUGAGGGUGUAAGUCUGACAGCCAGAGAUGACAGCACCCUGGCUCAUGUGACAUCAUCCAUGUGCAAACUCAUUGACCAGCAGUGCCAAAGGAUGGACAAGAGAUUUGGUGACAAAACUGGUCGAUCUGCAAAAUGGACUUG
rnacentral:lncRNA from 1 species